rnacentral:rRNA from 1 species
CAGACACAUGAACAUCGACAUUUUGAACGCAUAUCGCAGUCCAUGCUGUAAGGUACUUUAAUUUCUAAUUGAAGUGCUGCUUGGACUACAUAUGGUUGAGGGUUGUAAGACUAUGCUAAAUAAGUUGCUUAUUUUCUUUUAUAAUCUAAAAGAAAAAGCACAUGUUGUAUUACUGGAUACAAUUUAUAUUGUAUUCAUAAUACUAAUAGCUAAAGAUACAAAACCUCUCAAAUGAAUAAAAUCAGAGUAUUUUAAUAAUAUAUUAUUAAAAUGUUCUUUUUUUAUUGAGGAAGGUCUAGCAUAAAAAUUUAUGAAACUAGAAUUGCCUCUUUAAUAUAAAGAAUUAAUAUUUAUGUGGAGAUAAAGAAAUGAUUUUUAUUCAUGGUUUUGUGUUUAAUAAUAAAAUAAAU